rnacentral:rRNA from 1 species
GACGAACGCUGGCGGCGUGCUUAACACAUGCAAGUCGAGCGGAAAGGCCCUUUCGGGGGUACUCGAGCGGCGAACGGGUGAGUAACACGUGAGUAAUCUGCCCUUCACUUGGGGAUAACCUCCGGAAACGGUGGCUAAUACCCGAUACGACCAUUCCUCGCAUGCGGUGGGGGUGGAAAGUUUUUCGGUGGGGGAUGUGCUCGCGGCCUAUCAGCUUGUUGGUGGGGUAAUGGCCUACCAAGGCUUCGACGGGUAGCCGGCCUGAGAGGGUGACCGGCCACACUGGGACUGAGACACGGCCCAGACUCCUACGGGAGGCAGCAGUGGGGAAUAUUGGACAAUGGGCGGAAGCCUGAUCCAGCAACGCCGCGUGAGGGAUGACGGCCUUCGGGUUGUAAACCUCUUUCACCUGUGACGAAGCGAAAGUGACGGUAGCAGGAGAAGAAGCACCGGCCAACUACGUG